rnacentral:rRNA from 1 species
UACGGGAGGCAGCAGUGGGGAAUAUUGCACAAUGGGCGCAAGCCUGAUGCAGCCAUGCCGCGUGUAUGAAGAAGGCCUUAGGGUUGUAAAGUACUUUCAUCGGGGAGGAAAAAACAAAACUAAUAAUUUUAUUUCUUGACGUUACCCGAAAAAGAAGCACCGGCUAACUCCGUGCCAGCAGCCGCGGUAAUACGGAGGGUGCUAGCGUUAAUCAGAAUUACUGGGCGUAAAGAGCACGUAGGUGGUUUUUUUAAGUUCAGAUGUGAAAUCCCUGGGCUUAACCUAGGAACUGCAUUUUGAAACUGAAAUACUAGAGUAUCGUAGAGGGAGGUAGAAUUCUAGGUGUAGCGGUGAAAUGCGUAGAUAUCUGGAGGAAUACCUGUGGCGAAAGCGGCCUCCUAAACGAAUACUGACACUGAGGUGCGAAAGCGUGGGGAGCAAACAGGGAUUAGAUACC